rnacentral:tRNA from 1 species
CAGGGAGACAACAAAAUGUUUAAUAUUAUUAUUUUGUCACCUUAGGUCGAUCGGUAUCUCACGUUUUUAAUUUAUUAAGAAUUUCAUUUCCUAAGUUUUUCUAGGUCACACCCAUUAUUUUUCCUGGGCCAUUAGCUCAGGUGGUUAGAGCGCACCCCUGAUAAGGGUGAGGUCCCUGGUUCAAGUCCAGGAUGGCCCAUAUCUCUAUGUUGGGGGUAUAGCUCAGUUGGUAGAGCGCCUGCUUUGCAAGCAGGAUGUCAGCGGUUCGAGUCCGCUUACCUCCACUGAUUACCACCUCUUCCAUAACCGGUAGAAAGGAAAUUUUUUGAGUUGUGAUCAAAUUCUGAAAGAAUCUAGCUUCCUAAUGAAAUCAUUAAGAUGCUGGACUCAUUGAAUUAAUUUCAUUGUUUUCAGAGAACCUUGACAACUGCAUAGAUUAUUUUUAAAGACAAUAAGCAUCUUUAAUGAUGCAGAUUUAUUAUUUGUGCGAAUGCAUUAAUAACAAUUCUAUUAAGCUGAUGCUUCAAUUUUUGAAGUUAUU